UAGAGAUAGAGCUUUCCCCUUCGGGGGACAAAGUGACAGGUGGUGCAUGGUUGUCGUCAGCUCGUGUCGUGAGAUGUUGGGUUAAGUCCCGCAACGAGCGCAACCCUUAAGCUUAGUUGCCAUCAUUAAGUUGGGCACUCUAGGUUGACUGCCGGUGACAAACCGGAGGAAGGUGGGGAUGACGUCAAAUCAUCAUGCCCCUUAUGAUUUGGGCUACACACGUGCUACAAUGGACAAUACAAAGGGCAGCUAAACCGCGAGGUCAUGCAAAUCCCAUAAAGUUGUUCUCAGUUCGGAUUGUAGUCUGCAACUCGACUACAUGAAGCUGGAAUCGCUAGUAAUCGUAGAUCAGCAUGCUACAGUGAAUACGUUCCCGGGUCUUGUACACACCGCCCGUCACACCACGAGAGUUUGUAACACCCGAAGCCGGUGGAGUAACCAUUUAUGGAGCUAGCCGUCGAAGGUGGGACAAAUGAUUGGGGUGAAGUCGUAACAAGGUAGCCGUAUCGGAA
rnacentral:rRNA from 1 species